rnacentral:rRNA from 1 species
GACGAACCGAGCGAACGUUGUUCGGAAUCACUGGGCUUAAAGGGCGCGUAGGCGGGCGGCUAAGUCCGCGGUGAAAUCCUCCAGCUCAACUGGAGAACGGCCGCGGAUACUGGUCGUCUCGAGGAACGUAGGGGUAUGCGGAACUAUCGGUGGAGCGGUGAAAUGCGUUGAUAUCGAUAGGAACUCCGGUGGCGAAGGCGGCAUACUGGACGUUUUCUGACGCUGAGGAGCGAAAGCGUGGGGAGCGAACAGG